GAUGAACGCUGGCGGCGUGCCUAAUACAUGCAAGUCGAGCGAACGGACGAGAAGCUUGCUUCUCUGAUGUUAGCGGCGGACGGGUGAGUAACACGUGGAUACCCUACCUAUACGACUGGGAUAACUUCGGGAAACCGGCGCUAAUCCCGGAUGAUAUUUUGAACCGCAUGGUUCAAAAGUGAAAGACGGUCUUGCUGUCACUUAUAGCUGGAUCCGCGCUGCAUUAGCUAGUUGGUAAGGUAACGGCUUACCAAGGCAACGAUGCAUAGCCGACCUGAGAGGGUGAUCGGCCACACUGGAACUGAGACACGGUCCAGACUCCUACGGGAGGCAGCAGUAGGGAAUCUUCCGCAAUGGGCGAAAGCCUGACGGAGCAACGCCGCGUGAGUGAUGAAGGUCUUCGGAUCGUAAAACUCUGUUAUUAGGGAAGAACAUAUGUGUAAGUAACUGUGCACAUCUUGACGGUACCUAAUCAGAAAGCCACGGCUAACUACGUG
rnacentral:rRNA from 1 species